GACCAGAGUGACAUUGUUGCAGGUGACAUUUACCAACAGUCUGCAGAACCACCAGAGUCACCAAACAGUGCUACUCCUGCAGGAUCUGAUGAUAUCUUCCAGUGCAGUGCACAGGAUCCUUUGCAGCAGUCAAAGAGUUAUUCUGUUCCAGAAGGACCUGAUGACAUUUCCCAGUCUAGAGCAGGGGGUCCUGCGCAGCCUGUCCAUAAGCUCUUCCCCAAGACGCAACAUGCUAAAUGGAAAAGG